UACGAAGGGGGCUAGCGUUGUUCGGAAUUACUGGGCGUAAAGCGUACGUAGGCGGAUUGUUAAGUGAGGGGUGAAAUCCCGAGGCUCAACCUCGGAACUGCCUUUCAUACUGGCAAUCUUGAGUCCGGGAGAGGUGAGUGGAACUCCUAGUGUAGAGGUGAAAUUCGUAGAUAUUAGGAAGAACACCAGUGGCGAAGGCGACUCACUGGCCCGGAACUGACGCUGAGGUACGAAAGCGUGGGGAGCAAACAGG
rnacentral:rRNA from 1 species